AGACCUACGAUGUCACGGUGAUUCAGCAUCAAUGAAGAAGAGAGGUCCCCAUACUGUAGCAUCUGCUGCUAGUGACGUUCUAAAACUAGUUCGAGACCUAAGAAUAACACCUCGUGUGCUAGUUGGUCAUAGUUUUGGGGGGAAAGUUGUUUUGAGCAUGGUGGACCAAGCUGCAAAGCCUCUUGCUCGGCCAGUUAGAGCUUGGGUUCUGGAUGCAACGCCUGGAAAA